GAUGAAGAACGCAGCGAAAUGCGAUAAGUAAUGUGAAUUGCAGAAUUCAGUGAAUCAUCGAAUCUUUGAACGCACAAUGCGCCCGCCAGUAUUCUGGCGGGCAUGCCUGUUCGAGCGUCAUUUCAACCCUCAGGCCCCCAGUGCCUGGUGUUGGGGAUCGGCCCAGCCUUCCUGUAAGGCCGCCGGCCCCGAAAUCUAGUGGCGGUCUCGCUGUAGUCCUCCUCUGCGUAGUAGCACAACCUCGCAGUUGGAACGCGGCGGUGGCCAUGCCGUUAAACACCCCACUUCUGAAAGUUGACCUCGGAUCAGGUAGGAAUACCCGCUGAACUUAAGCAUAUCAAUAAGCGGAGGA
rnacentral:misc_RNA from 1 species